CGACCGCUGGCGGCGUGCUUAACACAUGCAAGUCGAACGGAAAGGCCCUGCUUUUGUGGGGUGCUCGAGUGGCGAACGGGUGAGUAACACGUGAGUAACCUGCCCUUGACUUUGGGAUAACUUCAGGAAACUGGGGCUAAUACCGGAUAGGAGCUCCUGCUGCAUGGUGGGGGUUGGAAAGUUUCGGCGGUUGGGGAUGGACUCGCGGCCUAUCAGCUUGUUGGUGGGGUAGUGGCUUACCAAGGCUUUGACGGGUAGCCGGCCUGAGAGGGUGACCGGCCACAUUGGGACUGAGAUACGGCCCAGACUCCUACGGGAGGCAGCAGUGGGGAAUAUUGCACAAUGGGCGGAAGCCUGAUGCAGCAACGCCGCGUGCGGGAUGACGGCCUUCGGGUUGUAAACCGCUUUCGCCUGUGACGAAGCGUGAGUGACGGUAAUGGGUAAAGAAGCACCGGCUAACUACGU
rnacentral:rRNA from 1 species